AGAUGCUUUUCAGUGAUAGCUCCAGUGUUUAUUAUUUCAUACAACAUGGCCAGCGUUUUGGAAGACAAUAUCUUUGCAGAAAGGUAUUGUCUAACAGAAAAGGGUAAUGAGUGGAUCCAAACUGAUAAACGGCUUUGCCAUUGUGUAGUACGAUGAAAUAGUUCCCAGAAUAUGCUGCCCAAUAAACAUCUUUCUGCAAUGAAUAGUAGCAAGCAGAUCAUGUUAAAAAGCUGCGGUGAACUGCCACCAGUCUCUUGGAUCGCUUCAUUUGGAAAUAAGAGAAAUGUUUACAUUCUGCACAUGUAAAGACACAAAGCAAGGACUGCACUCAAAAAGUCUCUCUACGAAUAAUACGUUGCUGCUGUUUGAUUCCUGCUAUAAUCAGGGAAAGUAAAUCAGAAUGCAUGAUGGAUGCCUAGUUUCAGCAUGAAUUUCACUUCCUACCAGACAGCACUUCAGCUAACUCUUCAGAUCAGCAUUGAUCCUUUGAGUCCUGGAAGAAAAUAACGUAAAGUGCAAGGAAAAUAUUUUUCUUUCAUCCAAACUACUUAUAAAUUCUAUUUGUUCUUGGACUUAGACCCAAAUCCAAACCUUCUGCACUGCC
rnacentral:lncRNA from 1 species